CUAGGAUAGGUGACCUCCCGA
rnacentral:siRNA from 1 species